rnacentral:rRNA from 1 species
CGGACGGGUGAGUAACACGUGGAUAACCUACCUAUAAGACUGGGAUAACUUCGGGAAACCGGAGCUAAUACCGGAUAAUAUAUUGAACCGCAUGGUUCAAUAGUGAAAGACGGUUUUGCUGUCACUUAUAGAUGGAUCCGCGCCGCAUUAGCUAGUUGGUAAGGUAACGGCUUACCAAGGCAACGAUGCGUAGCCGACCUGAGAGGGUGAUCGGCCACACUGGAACUGAGACACGGUCCAGACUCCUACGGGAGGCAGCAGUC